rnacentral:precursor_RNA from 1 species
UCCCCACUCCAUUCGUUCUUGUGUAGUUCUUUCUUAUCCACCGGAACGAUCGAAGAGGUUGGACC